CCCCUCUCAGAGUCACACCUGGAGAGUUUCUAGUACUCUACCUGUUUUGGCUACAGGAGGGAGAGUCAGGCAGAGGCAUACCCAUUCCAUUCCUAGCUUGGCCAGUGGCUAGAGAGUGGAAGGCAACCUGCUACAAGU